AAGGCCUCAGAGCGGUAAUUUAAGUUGCACGAAACAUGGGACGCCUUGCAAGUCUAGGAAAUGAACAUCACCACAAGCGACAACAAAUUAGAAUCAAGGCAGAUAUGGAUUAUUUUACGUCUCUAUGCCAUUGAUGUUCAAAUAUGCAACUGAAAAAGAAAAAACAGUCAAAGCGUCCACAUAUAAUAAUGGGCUCAACAACUCUAAAACCCACAAAAGUUAUGCAUCAUCAACAGAUUUCUCUAUCUUAACAAUGGCAUUAUUCAAAACUUCAGCUAAUUCCGUUUUUCACACAUUGCAGGGAGGCCAAACUUACAACCACACAAGGAAUGGACGAGAGCAUCU
rnacentral:lncRNA from 1 species